GGAGCGACGCUGCGUGAAGGAUGACGGCCUGCGGGUUGUAAACUUCUUUUCUCGAAGAAGAAUAAAUGACGGUAUUCGAGGAAUAAGCAUCGGCUAACUCUGUGCCAGCAGCCGCGGUAAU
rnacentral:rRNA from 1 species